GCGGCGAUCGUCGUGACGCCUUGAUGUGUGGUGCUAGGGAGUUGUUGGACGAACUCCAGGUUAAAGAAUAGCUUAGGUGUGGUGGCUACGAGGAAUUCGACGGUGUUCUGACAGAUUGGACAAAAUUAGGACUCCCUUCGGGUGUAUCAACUUAUAAAUUGUAUCUUAAAGCUUCCGUACUGUGCAAAUGGUUACGUCACUCUCACGUGACGGCCAGCAUGCCCUCCUUCGGGACGGGGUGUGUCAGUAAUUGUAAGUCCCAUUGUAGCAAUUAAGUAAAAAAUUUCGUAUUUGAAUAACCAAGCAUACCUAUACAUUAUAUUCC